rnacentral:rRNA from 1 species
GCAUGCAGCCAUAUCACUCUGCAACUCACAACCGGCAACCCACUGAAGCUCAGCAGGUGUGAGCCUGGUCAGUACCUGGAUGGGAGACCUCCUGGGUAAAACUAAGGUUGCUGCUGGAA